GCCGGGCACAGUGGUGCAUGCCUGUAAUCCCAGCGUCUUUGGAGGCUAAGGCAGGAGGUUUGUGAGUUCAAAGCCAGCCUCAGCAAAAGUGAGGCACUAAGCAAGUCAGUGAGACCCUGUCUCUA
rnacentral:sRNA from 1 species